rnacentral:rRNA from 1 species
AUUGAACGCUGGCGGCGUGCUUAACACAUGCAAGUCGAUCGGUAACGCGGGGGCAACCCUGGCGACGAGAGGCGGACGGGUGAGGAACGCUUGGGAAUCUGCCUAUCAGCGGGGGACAACACGGGGAAACCCGUGCUAAUACCGCAUACGCUCUACGGAGGAAAGCCGGGGACCGCAAGGCCUGGCACUGAUAGAUGAGCCCAAGCCGGAUUAGCUAGUUGGCGGGGUAACGGCCCACCAAGGCGACGAUCCGUAGCUGGGCUGAGAGGACGAUCAGCCAGACUGGGAAUGGGACACGGCCCAGACUCCUACGGGAGACAGCAGUGGGGAAUAUUGGACAAUGGGGGAAACCCUGAUCCAGCGACGCCGCGUGGGUGAAGAAGGCCUGCGGGUUGUAAAGCCCUGUCGGUAGGGACGAAAGCUCUCGACCUAACACGUCGGGAGGUUGACUUAACCUACAAAAGAAGCACCGGCUAACUCUGUGCCAGCAGCCGCAGUAAAAC